GAAAUGCGAUAAGUAGUGUGAAUUGCAGAAUUCAGUGAAUCAUCGAAUCUUUGAACGCACAUUGCGCCCUUUGGUAUUCCUUAGGGCAUGCCUGUUCGAGCGUCAUCUAAACCUUCAAGACCUGCUUGGUGUUGGGUGCCUGUCCCGCCUCCGCGCGCGGACUCACCUCAAAUCCAUUGGCGGCCCCCGCGUCGGCCACGAGCGCAGCAGAAACGCGAACUCGUGAGCCCGUCCGGGCGGCUCCCAGAAGCUACACCCACCCAGUUUGACCUCGGAUCAGGUAGGGAUACCCGCUGAACUUAAGC
rnacentral:misc_RNA from 1 species